GGCCUGGUGGUCUAGUGGUAUGAUUGCUGCUUCGGGAAACGUCCCAGAUGUUUAACAUCUCGUCUGUAGCAGGCCCCGGGUUCAAAUCCCGGCCAGGCCC